rnacentral:rRNA from 1 species
AUUGAACGCUGGCGGCAUGCCUUACACGUGCAAGUCGAACGGCAGCACGGGUGCUUGCACCUGGUGGCGAGUGGCGAACGGGAGAGUAAUACAUCGGAACGUACCUUAUCGUGGGGGUUAACGCAGCGAAAGCUGUGCUAAUACCGCAUACGCCCUGAGGGGGAAAGCGGGGGAUCGAAAGACCCCGCGCGAUUAGAGCGGCCGAUGCCUGAUUAGCUUGUUGGUGGGGUAAAAGCCCACCAAGGCGACGAUCAGUAGCUGGUCUGAGAGGACGAUCAGCCACACUGGGACUGAGACACGGCCCAGACUCCUACGGGAGGCAGCAGUGGGGAAUUUUGGACAAUGGGGGCAACCCUGAUCCAGCAAUGCCGCGUGAGUGAAGAAGGCCUUCGGGUUGUAAAGCUCUUUUGUCAGGGAAGAAACACCGGCUCUAACACAGUCCGGGAAUGACGGUACCUGAAGAAUAAGUACCGGCUAACUACGUGCCAGCAGCCGCGGUAA